AUGUUCCUGCAUGCAGAUACAGACUGUAGGUCUAAGAACACUAGGAUGCACUUCUGUCAAGUGGCAAUUAGCAAUCAACCUUUCCUGAAGAAUUGUGCUUCUAUUCCUAUCCAAUGCUUCUUUGAGAGAAGCAGCAUAGCCAGAACUUUACGGAUGUGGCAACAGAGUUCUCAGAAGAUAUAUUCCCGUCUUUUGUCGACUGCUAAACCAGCAGGAACAGAUGGUCCUCUUGGCAUCAUGACAUCAUCUGACAGUAAGGGACUUGUGAACAACAUGAAAAACUUUCAGCCAUCUUUUGAUUACACGGAAAUAUGCCUUUGA
rnacentral:rRNA from 1 species